rnacentral:rRNA from 1 species
GACGAACGCUGGCGGCGUGCCUAACACAUGCAAGUCGAGCGGAGAACGACGAGCAGCUUGCUGCAAGUUGUUCUUAGCGGCGGACGGGUGAGUAACGCGUGGGCAAUCUGCCUCAAACAGGGGGAUAACACAGGGAAACUUGUGCUAAUACCGCAUAAAACCACAACAUGGCAUCAUGAAGUGGUCAAAGGAAGAAAUUCCGGUUUGAGAUGAGCCCGCGUCUGAUUAGCUAGUUGGUGAGGUAACGGCUCACCAAGGCGACGAUCAGUAGCCGAACUGAGAGGGUGAUCGGCCACAUUGGAACUGAGACACGGUCCAAACUCCUACGGGAGGCAGCAGUGGGGAAUAUUGCACAAUGGGCGAAAGCCUGAUGCAGCAACGCCGCGUGAGCGAAGAAGGCCUUUGGGUCGUAAAGCUCUGUCGGGUAGGAAGAUAAUGACGGUACUACCCGAGGAAGCCCCGGCUAACUACCGUGCCAGCAGCCGCGGU